AGGUUUUUUACUUUUAAAACGGUAAUUGAUAAAUCGACAAACGAUCAAAUUCAAACCGAUGUACCCAUCAAACCAGAGUAAUAGAAUACGAUGAUGGUGAUGAUGAUGAUGAUGAAGUCGAUGAUGGUUAAAAACGUGCCCAUUUUACUGAUCUGGCAACAGCUAUAUUUUGUUCGUACCUUCGGUGUUGGAUUUUCGAACGGGGAAUUCUCCUGGGAUCAGAUGAAUCUUGCUGCUGUUCUCACUGAUCCUUCGUUGAUUACACAUGUUUUUACUUCGUGAAAACAAGCUGUCGGUAUUAGUUUGCUAGUAUCCGCGAUUUCAACUGAAACAAAUUAAUGUAGCAAAACUGUUUGAAAUCAGUAUUUUAUCAGUUCCUUGUAUAGACUACUUAGCAAUGAAUGUGGAUGAGGAAGGCUUGAGAGAUGUUUUAAGAAGAGUUGAAGAUGCUGAAAAGAAGAACUUUGAGUUUGCUGUUGGAACCCAAAUGGUUGAAGAAAACAUAUUGCCCAUGUUUAGCGUAGAAGGUUUGGGUACCAUACCUGUGCCGGUAACAAUUAAGGAUGUUAAUCGUUUGAAAAAAGUUAGUGAACCCACCCUUUGCUGCAAGAGUAGUGAUGGAAUGAUGUCUGGCAACAAGGGGAAGAAAGCCAGCUGGCAAAUGGAUGCAGGUCAUAUUAUUCGUCAUGGCGACAUCGCGGAGAUAUUUUUUCGUCAAACGGUACCAUCUUUGGCUGCCGUUGGGCUGCAACAAUUAGGUUUGGUUGAGAAUGAGCUUCCUCUAGUAGAAGUCCGACCACAUAGUGUUUUAAUAAUUGAACGUGGUGGAUGCGCACCUCGCCAUCGCGACGCUGAAUGCGAACCAGGAACAUUUGGCGUGAUGUUCCUGCAAAUCCCCGUAAAAAAUGGCUAUGAAGGUGGAAUUUUAAAAGUGAAUCAUCAAAAAGAAAGUCGUAUCUUUGAUAAUUCUCAAAACAGUAAACGUUGCUUUUAUACUACCAUUUUUUUCACUGGCUGCGAACACGAGUUAACCGAGGUGAAGCAGGGCUGGAGAAUUGUCUUUACUUUCAGCCUUGUCUGGAAAUGGACUCGCUCACUAUUUGUGCCGUUACCAGCUGACGCGUCGCUCCUUUUCGCAGCUAAGGAGAUCGAACGGAUCCUGUCUCCUUGGCGCCUUCCCGAUGACGCUCAGCGGAGAUGCUUGGCCAUCCCGUUAGAGCACAAUUAUACAGUUGCCAAUCUUUCAUUUGCCGGACUUAAAGGUCGUGAUCGCCUGACAGCCAGUCUUCUCCGAUCUGUCAACUUUGUAGAUCUCCAUUUGGCUAGCGUUCGCCAUCGCAUGAAGCCUCCUACAAGCACAAUUUCGAACACGGACAAUCCUUUAUUACAAAGAGUUUUGAAGAAAGAAGAAUAUCGUACCGAGUGUUGGGUUUCUUCUCACACGGACGCUCCUCUUGCGUACCAAGGUCUAGAAAUCGAUUUUGAUUCGGAGGUGGUGUAUCCUCUGUUUAGCCGUUUGCAAACCAACUGGGACGACACGGAAUCUCGGAAUUCAACGAACCACGAAGAGGAAUCGUCAUUGGAUUGUAUUUACUGCCAGGCGUUUCUAGUAGUUUGGCCGAAGACGAGCACUAUUGAUCUGGCUUGCCGAAGUGAGUUAUUAUUAUUUAUAGGUUUCAUGGGAGCCCUAGACUUGCUCGAAUGUUUAGCAAGGACAUUACCCGCAGAAGAAGUACUUUUUGUAUUGGGUAGAACCAUGACUUUCUGUUGUGCCAAUCCCCAGCUUGUAUGGUGUCCUAGUAGGAAACCGUCCUCACCGGCCGGCCAAGUAACGUAUCGCCUGCUGCAACUUUGUAUCGAUUUAGAUGCUAUCGACCAGGGACUAAUUCUGCUCAACUUGAUUACCGACGAUCUCCAGACUGUUAGAAGCAAAAUGUUGGCGAAGGAUCAGCAUGAUAUUGCAACGGCAGAAAUUGAAGGGCUACAGACUAAUGAAAUUGCUGUCACCUUAGCUAAACUUAUUGCCCUGGCAGGCUGGGAUUCCUGUGAAGAAGCCAUUAGGCGUUUUCUCACUCCCGUGAGGAUGGCUAAACAAAUGGAACCGUUGACUGUCUUCGUAACGUCGUUGAUCAGUCACGGACUUCACGCAAAUGCUGUCUACGUAGCCAACCAUCUCUGCCCGGUUUUAUUUGCAUCUCCACUUUGUUGGAAAUCGUCGACGUAUAACACAGCAGCUGAAAUGGUGUUUCGGCUCGAAGAAUGGAGUGAAUCAAGUAAUCUAUUGCGCGUUGAAGGAUAUCUAGAACUGGCUCGAGCAAUCGAAUCCACACAUCUUUGUCAAGUCAUUAUCUACGUUCAUAAGAAGUUAAGUCAGUUUGUGAAAAAUAUUCCUGGAAUGAAACAUUUCUACCAAGCACUUAGCCAAAUUUUGGUUGAACGGGAUUUUUUCAGCCUUCGGUCCGUUUCAGAGAAAGGCGAACCAAUCGUCGUCAAUGUAUUCAAGUGUUUGCUCUGGCUAAAUGAUUCCGCUGUUCUCAAAGCAUUUCUAAGGCAAAUUACAAUGCCUACUGGACGAAACAAUUAUUGUUUGCAAGUAGUGCUGGCUUCCUCAGCCAUAUGGAAGGUAUGUUUAGCUUCAGAAGAUGGCAAGAAUGUUUUGCAAAUGUUGAUAGACAGUCGACUUCGAGAGCUUAGCCUUUUGAAACCGCCAGUCUUUUCUUGGCAGCAAAUGGAAGCUGAAAUACCAAAUUGUCCGGAAGUGGAAUAUUUUCUACGAUCACAUCAGCUUUCAACGACCUUUUCUCGAAGAUUUCCCACCGUCAACGAAGCGCGUCUUUGGGCUAAUGAAAUAUUUGGAUUCGGCUUUGAAGUGCUCGCCAGCCCCGAUAGUCAAUUUUUUGUCAACCAUCGUUAUAGCGCAACUGUUCAUGUCAAGAAGAUUGCCGGUGGAUUUGCUGUUUGCGAAAUAACCAAAAACCGACGUCUUUUCGAGUAUGAUGUCCGUCAAUUUGAACUAAGGCAGGAGGAGAUUGCCGAAUUGAUUGAGCGACGCCAAAUGGAGAUCCCUCAUGAACCGACCGCUCGCCCUCAAAAAAGAAGGAAGACAACGAAUCAAGAAAGAAUUUGCUGAAGAAAUUGCUUUUGCUGUUUACCUCAGUUACAAGUCACCUUACAAAGAAUGGCUUUUGGGUGACCUUUGAUCUAACGAUCUCCUGACAAAACUUCACUCUGGGGCAAAAGGGAAUUAUUUCCGAAAAGUUCAUUGGUUUAAAUCCAACUUUCGACGUAAACAACGCAUUUAAACGUGUACAUUUCAUUAUAGCAUAAUUUUUUAUUGAAGGUAAAUAAA
rnacentral:misc_RNA from 1 species